AUACUCUGGUUUCUCUCCAGAUCUCAUAAAUCUUUCUCUUUUUCCUUAGGAUUUCCAUGGAGAGGAACAAUUCUGAGUCUUUACCCAAUUUUUUGAGAACUUGUUUCAGCAAGGCC
ensembl:snRNA U5 U5 spliceosomal RNA